rnacentral:rRNA from 1 species
UACGAAGGGUGCAAGCGUUACUCGGAAUUACUGGGCGUAAAGCGUGCGUAGGCGGUUUGUUAAGUCCGUUGUGAAAGCCCCGGGCUCAACCCGGGAAGUGCACUCGAUACUGUCAAGCUAGAGUAUCGGAGAGGUUGGUGGAAUUCUCGGUGUAGAGGUGAAAUUCGUAGAUAUCGAGAGGAACACCGGUGGCGAAGGCGGCCAACUGGACGAAUACUGACGCUGAGACUCGAAAGCGUGGGGAGCAAACAGG